ACGGCGAGUGAACCGGGAAGAGCUCAAAUUUGAAAUCUGGCGUGCUCAGUGCGUCCGAGUUGUAAUCUAUAGAGGCGUUUUCCGUGCCGGACUGUGUCUAAGUCCCUUGGAACAGGGUAUCAAAGAGGGUGAUAAUCCCGUACUUGACACAAUGACCGGUGCUCUGUGAUACGUCUUCUACGAGUCGAGUUGUUUGGGAAUGCAGCUCAAAAUGGGUGGUGAGUUCCAUCUAAAGCUAAAUAUUGGCGAGAGACCGAUAGCGAACAAGUACCGUGAGGGAAAGAUGAAAAGCACUUUGGAAAGAGAGUUAAACAGUACGUGAAAUUGUUGAAAGGGAAACGAUUGAAGUCAGUCGUGACUGAGAGGCUCAGCCGGUUCUGCCGGUGUAUUCCCCUCAGUCGGGUCAACAUCAGUUUUGUUCGGUGGAUAAGGGCAGCUGGAAGGUGGCACCUCCGGGUGUGUUAUAGCCAGCUGUCGCAUACAUCGAAUGAGACUGAGGAAUGCAGCUCGCCUUUAUGGCCGGGGUUCGCCCACGUCCGAGCUUAGGAUGUUGACAUAAUGGCUUUAAACGACCCGUCUUGAACCACGGACCAAAA
rnacentral:rRNA from 1 species